rnacentral:rRNA from 6 species
AAAUUGAAGAGUUUGAUCAUGGCUCAGAUUGAACGCUGGCGGCAGGCCUAACACAUGCAAGUCGAACGGUAACAGGAAGCAGCUUGCUGCUUUGCUGACGAGUGGCGGACGGGUGAGUAAUGUCUGGGAAACUGCCUGAUGGAGGGGGAUAACUACUGGAAACGGUGGCUAAUACCGCAUAACGUCGCAAGACCAAAGAGGGGGACCUUCGGGCCUCUUGCCAUCAGAUGUGCCCAGAUGGGAUUAGCUUGUUGGUGAGGUAACGGCUCACCAAGGCGACGAUCCCUAGCUGGUCUGAGAGGAUGACCAGCCACACUGGAACUGAGACACGGUCCAGACUCCUACGGGAGGCAGCAGUGGGGAAUAUUGCACAAUGGGCGCAAGCCUGAUGCAGCCAUGCCGCGUGUAUGAAGAAGGCCUUCGGGUUGUAAAGUACUUUCAGCGGGGAGGAAGGUGUUGUGGUUAAUAACCGCAGCAAUUGACGUUACCCGCAGAAGAAGCACCGGCUAACUCCGUGCCAGCAGCCGCGGUAAUACGGAGGGUGCAAGCGUUAAUCGGAAUUACUGGGCGUAAAGCGCACGCAGGCGGUCUGUCAAGUCGGAUGUGAAAUCCCCGGGCUCAACCUGGGAACUGCAUUCGAAACUGGCAGGCUUGAGUCUUGUAGAGGGGGGUAGAAUUCCAGGUGUAGCGGUGAAAUGCGUAGAGAUCUGGAGGAAUACCGGUGGCGAAGGCGGCCCCCUGGACAAAGACUGACGCUCAGGUGCGAAAGCGUGGGGAGCAAACAGGAUUAGAUACCCUGGUAGUCCACGCCGUAAACGAUGUCUACUUGGAGGUUGUGCCCUUGAGGCGUGGCUUCCGGAGCUAACGCGUUAAGUAGACCGCCUGGGGAGUACGGCCGCAAGGUUAAAACUCAAAUGAAUUGACGGGGGCCCGCACAAGCGGUGGAGCAUGUGGUUUAAUUCGAUGCAACGCGAAGAACCUUACCUGGUCUUGACAUCCACAGAACUUUCCAGAGAUGGAUUGGUGCCUUCGGGAACUGUGAGACAGGUGCUGCAUGGCUGUCGUCAGCUCGUGUUGUGAAAUGUUGGGUUAAGUCCCGCAACGAGCGCAACCCUUAUCCUUUGUUGCCAGCGGUCCGGCCGGGAACUCAAAGGAGACUGCCAGUGAUAAACUGGAGGAAGGUGGGGAUGACGUCAAGUCAUCAUGGCCCUUACGACCAGGGCUACACACGUGCUACAAUGGCGCAUACAAAGAGAAGCGACCUCGCGAGAGCAAGCGGACCUCAUAAAGUGCGUCGUAGUCCGGAUUGGAGUCUGCAACUCGACUCCAUGAAGUCGGAAUCGCUAGUAAUCGUGGAUCAGAAUGCCACGGUGAAUACGUUCCCGGGCCUUGUACACACCGCCCGUCACACCAUGGGAGUGGGUUGCAAAAGAAGUAGGUAGCUUAACCUUCGGGAGGGCGCUUACCACUUUGUGAUUCAUGACUGGGGUGAAGUCGUAACAAGGUAACCGUAGGGGAACCUGCGGUUGGAUCACCUCCUUACCUGAAAGAAGC